AUACGGAGGGGGUUAGCGUUGUUCGGAAUUACUGGGCGUAAAGCGCACGUAGGCGGAUUGGAAAGUUGGGGGUGAAAUCCCAGGGCUCAACCCUGGAACUGCCUCCAAAACUAACAGUCUAGAGUUCGAGAGAGGUGAGUGGAAUUCCAAGUGUAGAGGUGAAAUUCGUAGAUAUUUGGAGGAACACCAGUGGCGAAGGCGGCUCACUGGCUCGAUACUGACGCUGAGGUGCGAAGGCGUGGGGAGCAAACAGGAUUAGAAACCCUUGUAGUCC
rnacentral:rRNA from 1 species